GCGAGAUGAGCAGCAGGGGCAGCCCCACGGCGAUGUACGUGACCAUCUUGUCCACGGCCAGCUCCAGCCGCAGCCCCUUGAACUUGGGCUCCGAGGGCUCCUUCAGCAAGAAGUCCGAGAACACGUACUCGGUGGCCAGGAUUCCAUCCAGGAUGCCACAUUAUAUUUAACUGUGUGGAUGAAAAAGGGGUCACAUACUAAACCUGACAAGCUCAGGGGAGGCCUGCAUGGUGGGCCUUACAAACUAACAGACUGAAAGCAACCACAUAAGAUGAUCUGAACAUAAAAAUUUGCAGCUAAUAGCAAGUCAUGGCAGAUAGUCCUCGGUAGGUAUCUUCCUUGACGAAGGUCAAUCUUUACCUUAAGUGAGCAUGUUUAUUGUCUUUUUGCAUCUAAGAUAACAUACUUUGGAAUGUCAGAGUCAUCCUUUUUUUCCAGGCCCCACAGGCCACAGUCUUCUAGAGCAAGAGACCACAGAAACCCUCACUGUUAUCUUAUUGCCCAAAUACCAUCUCUGUGCUAUAACUGUUCAUUGUUAACUACCCUUUACUCACCAAUGUAAAACAAGCACAUGUGUCUUUGGUUUACUUUUUAUCCAACCUCAGAGAUUUUCCUGCUUUGCUCUCUCCCGCCUUUCUAAUCUACCACCAAUGGAUUUCAUGUAAUCUGGCUUAUGUCUUCUCCUUUGAUUCUAGCAUAUAAAAUAAGCUGUAAAUUACAUAAAUGUCUAAUCACUAUGUUGUACACCUGAAACUAACAUAAUAGUGUAUGUCAACUGUAAGUGAAAAAUUUUUAAGUUAUUAAAAAGAUGAAAAUAAAAAAAAACAAUUAAAAUAAUAAGUUGCAAAACUGCCAUUCUCAGGAGCUUUUUCUCAAGUCAUUGAGAUGUUGCUUCCCAGAAAUUGUCAUCAGUUUGGCUCAAAUAAACUGUUAUAAGACUUUU